UUUUGUUAUGCACCUACUGCCUUUUAUAAAUUAAAAUGCAUUUUAGUUUUUAGUUUUCUUUUUUAAUAAGUAAUCACGGUCAUAAUGCAUGCAACUAAUUGAAUUGGGAGCUGGCUCUAGAAUAUGUGCUUAUUUGAGUUUUCUAUGUACAUAGGUAAAUAAUGCCACAGCACGUGUAAUGACAAAUAAAAAGACCGUCAACCCUUAUACAAAUGGCUGGAAAUUGAAUCCAGUUGUGGGUGCAGUCUACAGUCCCGAAUUCUAUGCAGGCACGGUCCUGUUGUGCCAGGCCA
rnacentral:sRNA from 1 species